GCGCGAUUUGCGAUUUUUUGAGCUCAUGACAAAGGUCGACGCAAGUUAAUGUUUGGGGGACUUGGCAAUUCUGACCUUUUGCAUCUUCAGGCAUUUUCAGGAACCCAUCAGCCAUCUGAAAGC